rnacentral:misc_RNA from 1 species
AUGCAGCGUUGCGUAUCCAGACC